rnacentral:rRNA from 1 species
GAUGAACGCUGGCGGCGUGCCUAAUACAUGCAAGUCGAGCGAACGGACGAGAAGCUUGCUUCUCUGAUGUUAGCGGCGGACGGGUGAGUAACACGUGGAUAACCUACCUAUAAGACUGGGAUAACUUCGGGAAACCGGAGCUAAUACCGGAUAAUAUUUUGAACCGCAUGAUUCAAAAGUGAAAGACGGUCUUGCUGUCACUUAUAGAUGGAUCCGCGCUGCAUUAGCUAGUUGGUAAGGUAACGGCUUACCAAGGCAACGAUGCAUAGCCGACCUGAGAGGGUGAUCGGCCACACUGGAACUGAGACACGGUCCAGACUCCUACGGGAGGCAGCAGUAGGGAAUCUUACGCCCUGGGCGCCCGCCUGCCGGCGCCCCGCCGCGUGAGUGAUGAAGGUCUUCGGAUCGUAAAACUCUGUUAUUAGGGAAGAACAUAUGUGUCAGUAACUGUGCACAUCUUGACGGUACCUAAUCAGAAAGCCACGGCUAACUACGUG